rnacentral:rRNA from 1 species
CUCUGUGACUCCUACGGGAGGCAGCAGUGGGGAAUAUUGCACAAUGGGGGAAACCCUGAUGCAGCCAUGCCGCGUGUGUGAAGAAGGCCUUCGGGUUGUAAAGCACUUUCAGUAGGGAGGAAGGUAGUGUAGUUAACACCUGCAUUAUUUGACGUUACCUACAGAAGAAGCACCGGCUAACUCCGUGCCAGCAGCCGCGGUAAUACGGAGGGUGCGAGCGUUAAUCGGAAUUACUGGGCGUAAAGCGCAUGCAGGCGGCCUGUUAAGUCAGAUGUGAAAGCCCCGGGGCUUAACCUCGGAAUUGCAUUUGAAACUGGCAGGCUAGAGUCUUGUAGAGGGGGUAGAAUUUCAGGUGUAGCGGUGAAAUGCGUAGAGAUCUGAAGGAAUUACCAGUGGCGAAGGCGGCCCCCUGGACAAAGACUGACGCUCAGAUGCGAAAGCGUGGGGAGCAAACAGGAUUAGAUACCCUGGUAG